GGGGGGCUGGACACCGCAAUACAACUCGGAUGAUGACUUGUGUGAAGACUAAAGACCCUCAGAUUGAUUAUUUAAUCAUUCCAAGGCUCGGGGGCUGAUAAGCUACACCCAACAGUUGAUUUUUUUCAAGAUGAAAGACGAAGAUUUAAGAUUUUAUUGACCCUCAGCCUAAUUCUUCGAUUCAACCUAAGGCUCGAGGGCUACUCCAUA
rnacentral:lncRNA from 1 species